rnacentral:SRP_RNA from 1 species
AUAUAUAUGCCAUCAGAACAAUAACCCACUAACUUGGUCAGGGUAGAAAUACAGCAGCCACAUGAGGAAGUGUUGUGUCGGGUGGUUUUUAUAUAAAAUUU